AGCAUUUGUGUGUGUACUUGUUUAACUUGUGGAUGAAGAUUUAUAAAGAUGCAAAAACUAAAACCUCUUUUACAACCCAGAACUCACUGUUUAGUAUGAAUUUUGAAACAUAUAAGAAGGGAUAUU
ensembl:snoRNA